GCCAGGUCGCAGUGUCUCUCCUUCCUCUGCCUGCAGAUCUUGAAGUAGAACUCUCAGAUCCCUCUCCAGUAUCUCGUCAGCCUGCGUGCUGCCAUGCUCCCUGCUGUGUAACUGUCUCUCCUCUGUUGUUAAUGGUCAUCUCCGAUUUUAGCUAGCGCACAUCUGAGCCACCAAACUAAUUGAAGGGUGAUGGUGAUGGUGAUGGUGGUCUAAGCACCACACUUGGCGAAUCUCUGACGAUGGCACUGGCUGAGUUGUUCCUGUCAUGAAUGUCUGAGACUCUCACCCUCAGCUCGGCUGACGCCACCCCCUUCUCAUCAGCAGAUGCAGAAAGCAUAAGGGCUGGGGACCUUGGAUCGAGGUCAGACUGUCGAAUCAAACGGUCUGGGACAAGUUAGUUCCCAGUGACUUGGAGGAAAACAACAGACUUCAUACCAUAGGACCAUUUUGGGGCUAAACAGGAAACACACCUGAAACAUCACCAUGUGAGCACCUGGAGCACCUGGAGCACCUAGGAGCACCUGGGAGCACCUGUGAGCACCUGGAGCAGGAUCGGAUUAGAGCCAUUAGUCUAGGCUUUGUGAAUAUCCGGCCCAACUUCUGCAUUUGAAAGGACUCACAGGACUUCCAAAUCCUCUCCCCCAUCUGUUGCCUCUGCUCCCUUUGCCAAGAAGGACCAAUAUCUGCCAAUGAUCCACAAGGGUGGGAAGAGUCAAAUGUGUCCUGGAAAAGGCUCUGUCUUCUAAUUUCUCAAUAGUUGUGCAGUAAGGCAACGGAAAUCUACCCAAUGAGAUAAAACCGUCCUGUGAGA